rnacentral:rRNA from 1 species
UCGGGAAUUUUGGGCAAUGGGGGAAACCCUGACCCAGCAACGCCGCGUGAAGGAUGAAGUAUUUCGGUAUGUAAACUUCGAAAGAAUAGGAAGAAUAAAUGACGGUACUAUUUAUAAGGUCCGGCUAACUACGUGCCAGCAGCCGCGGUAAUACGUAGGGACCAAGCGUUGUUCGGAUUUACUGGGCGUAAAGGGCGCGUAGGCGGCAUGACAAGUCACUUGUGAAAUCUCCGAGCUUAACUCGGAACGGUCAACUGAUACUGUCACACUAGAGUACAGAAGGGGCAAUCGGAAUUCUUGGUGUAGCGGUGAAAUGCGUAGAUAUCAAGAGGAACACCUGAGGCGAAGGCGGGUUGCUGGGCUGAUACUGACGCUGAGGCGCGAAAGCUAGGGUAGCAAACGGGAUUAGAUACCCCCGUAGUCCCUGAGCGGGCUGGCAAGGCGCAU